UAUAAUUUCCUACAUAGUUGUUUUUUUAGGAAAAAAAUAUUAAAAAGGAAAAAAAAAGAUAAGAAAAAAGAACCUUAUUAUUAUUAUUAUUUAAUCAAAAUAAGUCACUGGAGUGUCUCUACACGAGAUAAAAAAAAGAAAAAACAAAAAAAAGAAGAAGAAGAAGAAGAAGACGGUGAUCCCUCUCUUAUUUAUAAGUACAUAUAUAUUUGUUUUCGAAUAUCAUUACGAAUAUAGUAUAUUGAUAUUUCGGGCUUAUAGAAAAAAGUUAUGUCAAAAAGAAAAGAAAAGGAAAAGAGAUAGGAAAAGAAAGGAAAGGAAAGAAAAGUAUAACGUGUAAAAGAAAAACAUUUCCCUCGCGUUUUCAUAUUUGUCAAUGUAUAAAAUGUCGACAUCCGCAGAGAGUAAACGCAUCAGCGAUCGACUGCGAUAUAAAAAGUAAAAAAAAAAAAAAAAGAAAAAAAAAAGAAAGAAAGACAUAUAAUACAAAUUAUAUACAUACGUUUUUCGUUGCGUUUGCGAGUAAACAGGCGGAUAAAGAAAGAAGAUAAAAAAAAUAAUAAUAAUAAUAAUUAUAGUAAAGCAAAAAAGAAAAAAAACAAAAAGAGGAAAAUAUAAUGUAAAAGACUGUGUUGUUUAAUAAAUGUAUCGUUUUUUCUUGCUAAACAAGGAAAUGGAUACUUUGGGCUGGUACAAGUAAAUAAACGAUGAAAUUAUUUAAAAAUGAUAAGGGAACAGUACGGGAUGAAAGCGUGAAAUAAAAGGGAAAACAAAAAAAGAAAAAAAAAAUUAUGCCAUACACGAGGAAUCGCAUCCAUUUGGCCGACUGCAAAAAUAAAAUGAAAGAAAAAAAAAAAAAAAAAAAGAAGAAGAAACAAAAUAAAAAUAAAAUAAAAUAAAAUAAAUAUCGUGCAUGUAUGUGUAUGUACAUAUGCAUGUACGUUUUUCGUUCCAUUUUCUAGUAAACAGGCGGAUAAAAAAAAAAAAAAAAAAAAAAAAAAAAGAGAGAUAAAAACAAAGAAAAAAAGAAAAUAAUGUAAAAGAUCGUGUUGUUGUUGUUGUUAUUGUUGUUUAAUAAAUACAUCGUUUUUUAUUGUUACUGAAUAAGAGAAUAUAAAUAGAAUCUUCCCAUAGAUAUUUCGAGUCGUAUAUAUGCACAACGAAAUUAAUUAGAAAACGAAAAAGAAAUCGAAAAAGUGAGUUAGCGUAAAAAGAAAAAGAAAAGAAGCGGCGACAUAUACGUGAGGAAUCGUAUCAACGGUGCCGAUUGCAAAAUAAAAAAAAAAUAAAAAGAAAGAAAAAAAAAGAAGGAAAUAAAAAAGAAAAGAAAAAUAGCAUAUAUACGUUUUUCGUUGAGUUUGCGCGUGAACAGGCGGAUAAAAACAAGAGAAAAAAAAGGAAAAAGAUUACGUGUCAUUUAAUAAAUGCUUCGUUUUUUUUUUUUUUUUUUUUUUUGAUACGAGAGAUACAGGAUAUGAAAUUUUUGCGUUAAAAAUUGAACGUUUCUUUCGAUAAUCAAAUAUUAAAAGAAAUUGUCUAAUCUGUAAAUGAUAAACUCAGCCGUAUAUAAAUAACGCGUUUUUGAUAUCUAAUCGUAACGUUAAAUAUCGGAAAAUCAAUAUGAGAAUAUACAAUUUUAGAAAUUUCUUUUACAACUUUUCAUUUCUCUUAAUCUGUCGUUUCUAUCCUUGAACUUUAUCAGAAAAGGAAAUGAGAUUUUUUUUCCUUUUUUUUUUUUUUUUCUUUUUUUUUUUUUUUUAAGA